CCUACGGGAGGCAGCAGUGGGGAAUAUUGCGCAAUGGGCGAAAGCCUGACGCAGCGACGCCGCGUGAGGGAUGAAGGUCUUCGGAUCGUAAACCUCUGUCAGCAGGGAAGAACGGUCACUGUGCUAAUCAGCAGUGAAUUGACGGUACCUGCAAAGGAAGCACCGGCUAACUCCGUGCCAGCAGCCGCGGUAAUACGGAGGGUGCGAGCGUUAAUCGGAAUUACUGGGCGUAAGGGGCUCGUAGGCGGUAUGUCAAGUCAAGGGUGAAAUCCCCGCGCUCAACGUGGGAACUGCCUUUGAAACUGGCAGACUGGAGUGUGUGAGAGGAUAGUGGAAUUCCAGGUGUAGGAGUGAAAUCCGUAGAUAUCUGGAGGAACAUCAGUGGCGAAGGCGACUAUCUGGCACAUAACUGACGCUGAGGAGCGAAAGCGUGGGUAGCAAACAGGAUUAGAUACCCUGGUAGUC
rnacentral:rRNA from 1 species